UACGAAGGGGGGCUAGCGUUGCUCGGAAUUACUGGGCGUAAAGGGCGCGUAGGCGGACAGUUAAGUCAGAGGUGAAAGCCCAGGGCUCAACCCUGGAAUUGCCUUUGAUACUGGCUGUCUUGAGUAUGGGGAGAGGUGAGUGGAACUCCGAGUGUAGAGGUGAAAAUUCGUAGAUAUUCGGAAGAACACCAGUGGCGAAGGCGACUCACUGGCCCCAUUUACUGACGCUGAGGCGCGAAAAGCUAGGGGGAGCAAA
rnacentral:rRNA from 1 species